rnacentral:lncRNA from 1 species
CAGCCCAAUACACGAGAGGGGGACUAUAUAAGAAUCAAUGAAGCUGUCACUAUCACGAACUACCCCACGAUCUGGCAUAUUGGGUACAAUCGCAGAUAAAUACGGUAUAAGCACCACGCCUACACAAUAUCUAUCAUUUACCCAUGGAUCCGAUGGAUAGACGCUAUACGAUCCUAAACAUGUAUAUAGAUCCAAUCUAACUAAGCCAAGUA